GCGUUACUGUGAUGUGACUGGUGUUAUAAUGUAUUAUAGUGUAUUAUAGUCUUAGUGUGUAUUAUAGUGUAUUAGUGUAUUAUGUAUUAUGUAUAGUG